GAUGAACGCUGGCGGCGUGCCUAAUACAUGCAAGUAGAACGCUGAAGGAGGAGCUUGCUCUUCUGGAUGAGUUGCGAACGGGUGAGUAACGCGUAGGUAACCUGCCUGGUAGCGGGGGAUAACUAUUGGAAACGAUAGCUAAUACCGCAUGACAACAGUUAUUGCAUGAUAACUGUUUAAAAGGGGCAACUGCUCCACUACCAGAUGGACCUGCGUUGUAUUAGCUAGUUGGUGAGGUAACGGCUCACCAAGGCGACGAUACAUAGCCGACCGGAGAGGGUGCGCGGCCAACCUGGGAGGGAGACACGGCCCAGAGUGCUAGGGGAGGGAGACGGAGGGAAACUUCAGGAAUGGACGGAAGUCUGAGCGAGGAACGCCGGGGGAGGGAAGAAGGUUUCCGGGUCGGAGAGGACGGUUGUAAGAUAAGAACGAGUGUGAGCGUGGAAAGUUCACAGUGUGACGGUAUCGUAACAAAAAGGGACGGCUAACUACGUG
rnacentral:rRNA from 1 species